UUCAACAAAGAGAAAACCAAAACGCAUAUCAAAAUCAACUAAAACAUAUUACGACAUUCAUAAUACGACAUUCAAAAAACCAAAAUAUAUACAUGGGGAACGAAACUAAAGUUCAAAAAAUCAUACAGACACUGUAACAAAACACUAUAAUUUUAAAUAAAAAAGGAUCAAUUAAAUAUAAACGACGAAGCCAAAGAUAUCAAUUCAACAAACGACAAUUUAACAUAAAAACAAAUAUUGAAACGAGCAAAAGAUCCAAAUUCGUACCUAAAUUUUAGAACAGAUAAGACAGACACAAAACAGAGCAGGAACGAAGAAGCAAAAAAAAAAAGAAAAGAAAAGGGCAAAUGACGAAAUAGAAAGAGUUUUAAUAGGGUAAGGGUAAUUUCAUCAAAAAACUUUCAUUAAACAGGCGGCAAGGGCAAAAAUUAAAUAAGGCAUAAAUGAGGGGCAAAAUAUAAAGACCAGCCCAAAAGAAGGGCACUCCGCGCAAAAAAAAAGGUAAUGGGUCGACUAAUAAGGCCCAACAACUAAUCGAGUCGGAUACGGUUCGGAAAUGUUGAAUCAGUGCAAUCCACACUCGCGAAUGGCGCGUGUUGUCACGCACUGAAACCCGAAAAUGGAGGGAACUCCAAAAAGGUAUAAGGGGGGAAAAAUUUGCCCAUAAAUAAUUAAAUGCAUUAAACACACAGAGACUCUGCAUCUGUCCAUAUAUCAUUCUUCUCUCUUUUCACACCACUACACUCUUCUUAUUUCGAAGACACGGUUGAACAUUAAUGAAGGGACAGAUGCAGUGAAGAAAGUUUCGAACAGGAAUAUCUGAUAGAAUAUCUUUAACUCGAGUAAGAUGGCUUGAAUAACAAGGUUGAGAGUUGUCUAUCAUGCACUUGCAAUAGCCAUGUGGAAUUGCAGAAAUCGUAUGUAGGGUUCUCUCAGGUUCACAAAGGGCUUUACUUUGUUGAAAUGGAUAAGAAGCUAGCUUUUCAAUGCUAAAAACUGAAGGAUUUUCCAUUUACAUACCUCUCCAGAAGCAGUGUUGGAUGCUUUCUGUGGUUAGGCCUGAUGAACAUGAGAGAUUUCAAUGUUAUUUUACUCCCAAAUUUUCUAAAUGAGGUUUAAUCAGUUUAGCUGUUCUUUCACCUUUGA